CGGGUGCUUGCACCUGGCGGAUUAGUGGCGAACGGGUGAGUAUCACGUGAGUAACCUGCCCUUGACUCUGGGAUAAGCCUGGGAAACUGGGUCUAAUACCGGAUAUGACCAGUCCUCGCAUGGGGUGCUGGUGGAAAGAUUUUAUCGGUCUUGGAUGGACUCGCGGCCUAUCAGUUUGUUGGUGAGGUAAUGGCUCACCAAGGCGAUGACGGGUAGCCGGCCUGAGAGGGUGACCGGCCACACUGGGACUGAGACACGGCCCAGACUCCUACGGGAGGCAGCAGUGGGGAAUAUUGCACAAUGGGCGCAAGCCUGAUGCAGCGACGCCGCGUGCGGGAUGACGGCCUUCGGGUUGUAAACCGCUUUCAGCAGGGAAGAAGCUUUUUGUGACGGUACCUGCAGAAGAAGCGCCGGCUAACUACGUGCCAGCAGCCGCGGUAAUACGUAGGGCGCGAGCGUUAUCCGGAAUUAUUGGGCGUAAAGGGCUCGCAGGCGGUUUGCCACGUCUGCUGUGAAAGCCCGGGGCUUAACUCCGGGUGUGCAGUGGGUACGGGUAGACUAGAGUGCAGUAGGGGAGACUGGAAUUCCUGGUGUAGCGGUGAAAUGCGCAGAUAUCAGGAAGAACACCGAUGGCGAAGGCAGGUCUCUGGGCUGUUACUGACGCUGAGGAGCGAAAGCAUGGGGAGCGAACAGGAUUAGAUACCCUGGUAGUCCAUGCCGUAAACGUUGGGCACUAGGUGUGGGGAACAUUCCACGUUUUCCG
rnacentral:rRNA from 1 species